rnacentral:rRNA from 1 species
AGAGUUUGAUCAUGGCUCAGAUUGAACGCUGGCGGCAGGCCUAACACAUGCAAGUCGAACGGUAACAGGAAGCAGCUUGCUGCUUCGCUGACGAGUGGCGGACGGGUGAGUAAUGUCUGGGAAACUGCCUGAUGGAGGGGGAUAACUACUGGAAACGGUAGCUAAUACCGCAUAAUGUCGCAGGACCAAAGAGGGGGACCUUCGGGCCUCUUGCCAUCAGAUGUGCCCAGAUGGGAUUAGCUUGUUGGUGAGGUAACGGCUCACCAAGGCGACGAUCCCUAGCUGGUCUGAGAGGAUGACCAGCCACACUGGAACUGAGACACGGUCCAGACUCCUACGGGAGGCAGCAGUGGGGAAUAUUGCACAAUGGGCGCAAGCCUGAUGCAGCCAUGCCGCGUGUAUGAAGAAGGCCUUCGGGUUGUAAAGUACUUUCAGCGGGGAGGAAGGGGAUAAGGCUAAUAACCUUGUUCAUUGACGUUACCCGCAGAAGAAGCACCGGCUAACUCCGUGCCAGCAGCCGCGGUAAUACGGAGGGUGCAAGCGUUAAUCGGAAUUACUGGGCGUAAAGCGCACGCAGGCGGUCUGUCAAGUCGGAUGUGAAAUCCCCGGGCUCAACCUGGGAACUGCAUUCGAAACUGGCAGGCUUGAGUCUUGUAGAGGGGGGUAGAAUUCCAGGUGUAGCGGUGAAAUGCGUAGAGAUCUGGAGGAAUACCGGUGGCGAAGGCGGCCCCCUGGACAAAGACUGACGCUCAGGUGCGAAAGCGUGGGGAGCAAACAGGAUUAGAUACCCUGGUAGUCCACGCCGUAAACGAUGUCUACUUGGAGGUUGUGCCCUUGAGGCGUGGCUUCCGGAGCUAACGCGUUAAGUAGACCGCCUGGGGAGUACGGCCGCAAGGUUAAAACUCAAAUGAAUUGACGGGGGCCCGCACAAGCGGUGGAGCAUGUGGUUUAAUUCGAUGCAACGCGAAGAACCUUACCUGGUCUUGACAUCCACAGAAGUUUUCAGAGAUGAGAAUGUGCCUUCGGGAGCUGUGAGACAGGUGCUGCAUGGCUGUCGUCAGCUCGUGUUGUGAAAUGUUGGGUUAAGUCCCGCAACGAGCGCAACCCUUAUCCUUUGUUGCCAGCGGUCCGGCCGGGAACUCAAAGGAGACUGCCAGUGAUAAACUGGAGGAAGGUGGGGAUGACGUCAAGUCAUCAUGGCCCUUACGACCAGGGCUACACACGUGCUACAAUGGCGCAUACAAAGAGAAGCGACCUCGCGAGAGCAAGCGGACCUCAUAAAGUGCGUCGUAGUCCGGACUGGAGUCUGCAACUCGACUCCAUGAAGUCGGAAUCGCUAGUAAUCGUGGAUCAGAAUGCCACGGUGAAUACGUUCCCGGGCCUUGUACACACCGCCCGUCACACCAUGGGAGUGGGUUGCAAAAGAAGUAGGUAGCUUAACCUUCGGGAGGGCGCUUACCACUUUGUGAUUCAUGACUGGGGUGAAGUCGUAACAAGGUAACCGUAGGGGAACCUGCGGUUG